rnacentral:rRNA from 1 species
GAUGAACGCUGGCGGCGUGCUUAACACAUGCAAGUCGAGCGAGAAGUUUUGAAAAGAUUCUUCGGAUGAAAUUUAAAAUGGAAAGCGGCGGACGGGUGAGUAACGCGUAGGCAACCUGCCCCAUACAAAGGGAUAGCAUUUGGAAACGAAUAUUAAUACCUUAUGAAACUUAACUAGUGCAUGCUAGGUAGGUCAAAGAUUUAUCGGUAUGGGAUGGGCCUGCGUCUGAUUAGCUAGUUGGUGAGGUAACGGCUCACCAAGGCGACGAUCAGUAGCCGACCUGAGAGGGUGAACGGCCACAUGGGAACUGAGACACGGUCCAAACUCCUACGGGAGACAGCAGUGGGGAAUAUUGCACAAUGGGGGAAACCCUGAUGCAGCAACGCCGCGUGAACGAUGAAGGCCUUUGGGUCGUAAAGUUCUGUUCUAGGUGAUGAAAACUGACAGUAACCUAGGAGAAAGCCCCGGCUAACUCCGUG